rnacentral:tRNA from 1 species
GUUUAUUUAGUUUUAAUUUAAAAUUUUGAUUUGUGAUAUCGAAGAUCUCUAAGAGGAUAAGCU